UUUUAUUCAUCAUUACUAUGUGUAAGGCACUAGAGUAGUUUCUGGGUAAUACAGAAGAUUAAUUAGUGACAGAAAGCUCCUUAAAGCUCUUAAAAUCUGGUAGGACAAAUAAUACAAGUGUAUAAUGAUCAUUUAAGAUAGUAUGUGUUGAACUCUUACGAAGUAUGCAUACAAACGAGACAUUAAUUCAUGAAAGCUUCAAAUCGAUCCUUAGCCAGGGAGUUAAGGGGUAUGGAGUACAAGGGGACAUGACCAACAAUAACCUGAGAUGGUAGGUCAUGGAUUGAAAAAGAUUGAGAACACUGACAGCUGUUAACUAGACUUUGAAGGUAGGGUACGAAAGACACCAUGGUAGAAAGACAUUCCAAAAAGUGGAACCAAAUCAAUAAGAACAGAAAAAGUAAGUUAUGUUAAAGAAAGCUUAUUUAUCUAGAUUGGUUGACAGUAUAAAUAAGGGAUGAAAGAAAGCCUAGAAAAAUUGGUUGGAACCAGUUUAUGGAAGCCUUUGAAUACUGAGGAGUUUAGUGUUGGCAAGCACAUUGGGGAGUCAGAAGGUUUCAAGCAGGAAAUAAUAAUUGGCUUGCUUUAGCAGUGAUGUACAGGAAGGAGAUAGGCAGGCAGAGACUGCAGACCAGGAAAUCAGUUAGGAGGCUAACACGUACAGUAAACUAAAGUAGGGAGGGCCUGGAGAUGAAGACUAUUCAUUUGAUUUAGUGCCAGUUACCCGCUAGUUGUGGGGAUCUGAUGAGGACUAGGCCCUUGUCAUGAGGGAGUUUUCAGUCUAGUGAGACAUUGAUCUCUUAAAGGCUCCUAACUGGGUCGCUGCAAGAUUUUGGGACCACUUCUGAGCUUUGCCAGGUUACUAAGGAAUUAGGUCCUCAUUUAACAAUAGGAUAUUUUCCUUAUUUUCUAAAACUACUUUUCAAUUUUAUGAAUCAGCUAAGACAAAAGAACCCCAACCACUUAUACAUAAAGAAAAGCAAUUUAUUACUUAAAACAAGACAGUAGCACUAAACCAGACAAGGCAAAGAAGAUGACAUAUGUUUUAAAGAGAUAACUGAAGAUGAUGUGGAGAAUGAAUUGGAGAUUAAAUUAGGAGCAAGAAAACCAGUUAAGAGGUUGUAGUAAUCCACCCACUUGAUGAUGAGGGUCCAUAUGAAAGAAGAAGAGUCCUUUCUUCCACCAUAAUCCUUUCUUUCGCAGCCCCGGUACAACUAAGGGAUGGGUAGGCACUCUCAUUUGGAAUUGAAUCUUGAACAGAGGGACUCAAGAACAGAAGAAACACUGUUUACCUCUUCACACUUAGAGAACUGGAGCUAAAUUAAGACCAAGAGCUCUGGAGACAAGGUGACCACACUUGGGGAUUGUCAUAGUUUGAGUAAUUCCUCUGGGCUCUGCCACCCAGCAAGUUAAAGAGGACAAGAUUCCUCCCAGGGGACUGUGGUUCUGGGAAUGUGAGCAGCUUGUUUUCAUGAGAUCUGCACCCUGGCCUGGCCUGGUAGGAGCUGUUGUGUGAUGGUCUCGUUGUUUGUAGUUGCUUCUUCCAGCUUACACGGUUAUUUGUAUAUAAAGAUUUAUGAAAAGUGAAGCUUUUACCAGGAUGUUUUACUUAUACAAAGAAAAAUUAAAACUAUUUUAAAGUGAUUACUUGUGUCUUAUAUUUUUCUCUUUUAAAAUAAAUGAAAGUAUUAAUUGACGUUGUCUGGAAAUAAAAUGAAGACCAAGGAAGUGGCUAUGCUCUUAAUGUUUUAAAAUAAG
ensembl:lncRNA